rnacentral:rRNA from 1 species
AGACCCGAAACCCGGUGAUCUAGCCAUGGGCAGGUUGAAGGUUGGGUAACACUAACUGGAGGACCGAACCGACUAAUGUUGAAAAAUUAGCGGAUGACCUGUGGCUGGGGGUGAAAGGCCAAUCAAACCGGGAGAUAGCUGGUUCUCCCCGAAAGCUAUUUAGGUAGCGCCUCGUGAAUUCAUCUCCGGGGGUAGAGCACUGUUUCGGCUAGGGGGCCAUCCCGGCUUACCAACCCGAUGCAAACUGCGAAUACCGGAGAAUGUUAUCACGGGAGACACACGGCGGGUGCUAACGUCCGUCGUGAAGAGGGAAACAACCCAGACCGCCAGCUAAGGUCCCAAAGUCAUGGUUAAGUGGGAAACGAUGUGGGAAGGCCCAGACAGCCAGGAUGUUGGCUUAGAAGCAGCCAUCAUUUAAAGAAAGCGUAAUAGCUCACUGGUCGAGUCGGCCUGCGCGGAAGAUGUAACGGGGCUAAACCAUGCACCGAAGCUGCGGCAGCGAACGUAUCACUUAAAGCGAUUCAGCGGGUUACGAUUGACGGAGCGAAGCGACGUCAAAGCGUAUACAAAGUCGAGUCGGUUUAAGGAUACGUUCGUUGGGUAGGGGAGCGUUCUGUAAGCCUGUGAAGGUGUGUCGUGAGGCAUGCUGG